rnacentral:sRNA from 1 species
AAUGGGGGUGGGAUGGCUUCGACGGGGCAUGAUGAGUGAGACGUA